rnacentral:rRNA from 1 species
UACGAAGGGGGCUAGCGUUGUUCGGAUUUACUGGGCGUAAAGCGCACGUAGGCGGAUCGUUAAGUCGGGGGUGAAAUCCUGGAGCUCAACUCCAGAACUGCCUUCGAUACUGGCGAUCUUGAGUCCGGAAGAGGUGAGUGGAAUUCCUAGUGUAGAGGUGGAAUUCGUAGGUAUUAGGAAGAACACCAGUGGCGAAGGCGGCUCACUGGUCCGGUACUGACGCUGAGGUGCGAAAGCGUGGG